UGAUGGAGCACGCCGCGUGUGUGAUGAAGGGUUUCGGCUCGUAAAACACUGUUGUAAGAGAAGAAUGACAUUGAGAGUAACUGUUCAAUGUGUGACGGUAUCUUACCAGAAAGGAACGGCUAAAUACGUGCCAGCAGCCGCGGUAAU
rnacentral:rRNA from 1 species